CAAAUGCUCCAUUUUUUUUAGGGUAUCGGAGGCGACUGACAAGAGCAUCUCCAAGUGCUCUGACAUGAGGAACAAAAACCAAUGCUUGAAAGUUGACUUUACAGCGUAGGCGUUGGACAUCCAUAGGCAAGUUGUUGAAAGCCAGACGGUGGGAGAAUGGGGCAAUUGCAGCAAUUCCAUAACUGACCAUUUAAAACAUGUUACACUUCCAGAAAAUUUACUAAGUGAAAUGAAGGUAAAAAGAUCAAAAAGAAUACAACAGGUCUACUUACGCUUGAAAAUAACAACAAACCUAUGCUGAAAUUAAAAUUAUGGUAUUAUCAAGGGGCUCGGAGAUGAAUUCAAUUGAAUAUAAAUAUCACAAGAUUCACAACUUUCACAAUCUUGGGUAAAGCAUUAAAAGUUAUAACUGCUCUUGUCCACUUAAAAACAUGGGGGAUUACUAAUGUCUAAUGGACAUCUGUAUCUUGAAUAAUCCACAUUUUACUAGGAAAACAUGACGUCUCAAAGGACAUAAGACUUCAUAUAUAGUCACUCUAAUAAAGUGGUUUUGUUGCAAGACAUAAAUUCACUUAAAAUAACAAGGUAUACACAAGAACACAAACUCUCUCACUACUUGACGGCUUGAAGAGUGAAUUGUAAAACUCUUGGUUGAAUGGCCCUAAUUUUAGAUACCUCUUCAAGAAAUUAUUCUAUGGGAAAUAACCUUUGAACUUACUCUAGAGUUGGAGCAGUCAAAAGGUGUCAUAUUGUUGGGACUGUUGGGGUUGGAUAUGAUAAUUCUGUCAUUUCCCCUUCCUUCAGAAUAAUCAACAGUCUCUAAAACCCAUAAUUGCUUAUGCUAGCUAAGGCCUAAGAACCAUGAUCUGGUGCAUGUUGGCCAUGCUGCACUCCAUCCUUACUCUUAUGUUGGGGACUACAUGCACACAUAUAUGCAUGUGAGGUCCAGCUCAGAUGGCAAGGAAUUGAAGUAAAAGAUGGAGAGGUUCCAUGUUUGAUUCCAUGUCCCAGGAAAAAGGGGAAGAUUAUCUACAAAAAAUUAAUGGCCACCUAUAAUUAUAUAUAGACUCUUCAUUAGACUUUUAAUCCUGUUACUCCUUGUCAUCCAUCAAGAAAUGCUUUAUGGCAGAAGACUUCUUUAUCUCAGCAUACCAUUUCAGAUGGAAAAGCUUUUGACAAAUAAAAUCAAUAUGCACUGUUGAGGCUAUUAAAGUUCAUCCAAACACUAUAGGACCUUAAUCCAAACAUAAACAUUUGCAAUGUUCUAGUUGAACUAGAAACAAUGUGAGUUGUCCAAAAAAAGAUUGGACAUGUGAGUAGAACCCUCGGUGCAUGGUGAGAUUUCCACAAGGAAGACUCGAGCAUCUUCACAUUAAGGAAUAUGUCUGCUGGUCUAAAGCAUGCCAUCCUCCUCGUUUUCUACAUUAUGUUCUCCAUUUUUUUCUUUUAAUAUGUAAUAAUUUUUUUUUCCUUUUUUUCUGGAUAGUACAUGGAAUCGAACCCUUUGUGGUUCCAUCAAGUCCUAGUGGGGAUUAGUUUGUGAAAACUUCCAAUUCUUCACUCUUACUGGCAUAAGUUUGACAUUUUUACAAGCAAAUCCAGUUGUUUUCCUACUGCAGGAGUAUACAAUACAAGAAAGUUGAGUUAGAAGUAACAAUAAAAAACAAAGAGGAUUCUUUAGAUAAUGAUUCUAUCCUCAUUAAGUGAGAAUUGACUGCACACACAAAUUUCUGGCAAGUAAUAAGUGGUUAAUUUUUUUACCAUUCCACAGUAACAACAUAGCAUUUGGAAUCAAGAUCAACAGAGAAAGCCUGACAUUUUCACAAAAGAUGCAUCUUGCUUGCCACUGAAUGGCAUUCUGGAUGGGAGAUUCAGAAAUACAAAUCUAGUAAAAAUAUGUCCCCACCAAAGAUCCUAAAGGCAAUAAUUACCACUAUAAAUAAUUCAUCUAUCAAGAGAACAUCUUAUGUCUCAGGAUCACAUUCAGGACAUUGAUAUGAGGUCCUAUUAAACAGCUGGAAUGUUUCCACUGACAUAAGAUCCUGCACAAUCAUAUGACCCACCUAGAAUAAAUGUGACCCCAAAAGGUUUUGGACCAUAAGGUUUGUAAGCUCUCACCAAGAUUUUUUCUCAAAAAAUUUCACCACCUGUUAAAUCAAAUAUCCUAAGAUAACUAUUGACUAUGGCCCAACAAAAAUAACUGAUUGUUGCUGCACCACUCAAUUUAAGAUUUAUAUAAAGGCCAAAGUAAUUAGAGUCUAUAUUUACUUCAAAAGAACAGCACAUCCACUUAAUUCUUCCAUCGAUCUUGAAAAAUGAUCAUGCUUAAACUUAAUUCAGAAUAAAAGUUUUUUUUAUCCCAAAUGUCAAAAAACAACUCAACUCUAAAUCUAAAGCAGAAGGCCAAUGUAACUACUGACCUCUCUAGCACAGGCAAGACAUUGUCCAGAUACCAUUUAGCUGAAGCAUGAACAGGUGCUGUUUUAAUUCUGGUAGCUCGAAUAGCUGUAGCAUAAUACUCCCUUGUGCUCCAAGAGAAGUCAUAAGGCAACUCUCUAACUAUAGAAAUAUCAUCCUUCAGGACAUUAAUAAAGUGAUCAACAUCAAAUAUAUCCAUGAAUGAGCU
rnacentral:lncRNA from 1 species